GACGAACGCUGGCGGCGUGCCUAAUACAUGCAAGUUGAGCGAUGAAGAUUGGUGCUUGCACCAAUUUGAAGAGCAGCGAACGGGUGAGUAACGCGUGGGGAAUCUGCCUUUGAGCGGGGGACAACAUUUGGAAACGAAUGCUAAUACCGCAUAACAACUUUAAACAUAAGUUUUAAGUUUGAAAGAUGCAAUUGCAUCACUCAAAGAUGAUCCCGCGUUGUAUUAGCUAGUUGGUGAGGUAAAGGCUCACCAAGGCGAUGAUACAUAGCCGACCUGAGAGGGUGAUCGGCCACAUUGGGACUGAGACACGGCCCAAACUCCUACGGGAGGCAGCAGUAGGGAAUCUUCGGCAAUGGACGAAAGUCUGACCGAGCAACGCCGCGUGAGUGAAGAAGGGUUUCGGAUCGUAAAACUCUGUUGGUAGAGAAGAACGUUGGUGAGAGUGGAAAGCCCAUCAAGUGACGGUAACUACCCAGAAAGGGACGGCUAACUACGUG
rnacentral:rRNA from 1 species